GGGCCCGCACAAGCAGUGGAUUAUGUGGUUUAAUUCGAAGCAACGCGAAGAACCUUACCAGGUCUUGACAUCGUGCGCAUAGCCUAGAGAUAGGUGAAGCCCUUCGGGGCGCAUAGACAGGUGGUGCAUGGUUGUCGUCAGCUCGUGUCGUGAGAUGUUGGGUUAAGUCCCGCAACGAGCGCAACCCUUAUUGUUAGUUGCUACGCAAGAGCACUCUAACGAGACUGCCGUUGACAAAACGGAGGAAGGUGGGGAUGACGUCAAAUCAUCAUGCCCCUUAUGACCUGGGCUACACACGUAAUACAAUGGCGAUGAACAGAGGGCGGCCACACCGCGAGGUGGAGCGAAUCCCUAAAAAUCGUCUCAGUUCGGAUUGCAGGCUGCAACUCGCCUGCAUGAAGUCGGAAUUGCUAGUAAUCGCGGAUCAGCAUGCCGCGGUGAAUACGUUCCCGGGCCUU
rnacentral:rRNA from 1 species